CCUACGGGAGGCUGCAGUCGAGAAUCAUUCACAAUGGGGGAAACCCUGAUGGUGCGACGCCGCGUGGGGGAAUGAAGGUCUUCGGAUUGUAAACCCCUGUCAUGUGGGAGCAAAUUAAAAAGAUAGUACCACAAGAGGAAGAGACGGCUAACUCUGUGCCAGCAGCCGCGGUAAUAAAGAGGUCUCAAGCGUUGUUCGGAAUCACUGGGCGUAAAGCGUGCGUAGGCUGUUUCGUAAGUCGUGUGUGAAAGGCGCGGGCUCAACCCGCGGACGGCACAUGAUACUGCGGGACUAGAGUAAUGGAGGGGGAAGCGGAAUGCGCGGUGUAGCAGUGAAAUGCAUAGAUA
rnacentral:rRNA from 1 species